UACGUAGGGUGCGAGCGUUAAUCGGAAUUACUGGGCGUAAAGCGUGCGCAGGCGGCGCGUUAAGACAGAUGUGAAAGCCCCGAGCUUAACUUGGGAAUUGCGCUUGUGACUGGCGUGCUGGAGUGUGGCAGAGGGAGGUGGAAUUCCACGUGUAGCAGUGAAAUGCGUAGAGAUGUGGAGGAACACCGAUGGCGAAGGCAGCCUCCUGGGCCAGCACUGACGCUCAUGCACGAAAGCGUGGGGAGCAAACAGG
rnacentral:rRNA from 1 species